GACGGAGGGGGCUAGCGUUGUUCGGAAUUACUGGGCGUAAAGCGUACGCAGGCUGUUUGGUAAGUUAGAAGUGAAAGCCUGGGGCUCAACCUCAGAAGUGCUUUUAAUACUGCCAAACUAGAGUUUCUGAGGGGAUAGUGGAAUUCCUAGUGUAGUAGUGAAAUACGUAGAUAUUAGGAGGAACACCAGUGGCGAAGGCGACUAUCUGGCAGAAAACUGACGCUCAUGUACGAAAGCGUGGGGAGCAAACAGG
rnacentral:rRNA from 1 species